CAGUAGCCACGGGAAAACGUAGGGGGCGAGCGUUGUCCGAAGUUACUGGGCGUAAAGAGCGCGUAGGCUGGUCUUUAAGUGAGUGGUGAAGGGUUCGGGCUCAACCCGGACACUGCCUUUCAUACUGGGGACCUUGAGUGUGGGAGAGGCGAGUGGAAUGGUCGGUGUAGCGGUGAAAUGCGUAGAUAUCGAUCGGAACACCCAUGGCGAAGGCAGCUCGCUGGCCUAACACUGACGCUGAGGCGCGAAAGCGUGGGGAGCAAACAGGAUUAGAUACCCGCGUAGUCCCUGUCUCUUAUAC
rnacentral:rRNA from 1 species